UAGCGUGAGCUCUGAUCCCUUGACAAAAAGUAGCUCAAACAAUAAGAAACAGCAGACAAAUUUGAAUGGAACCUGAUGUAAAACACUAGAAGAUUAGUUCCAUAAAUCUCAUGUCUGUGCAAAAGAAUUAAGGA